AGUCACUCUGCAAGAACUUCUUGAAGGAGGCCUCACUGUCUAGGCAUUUUUUCCAUCAACACCCAACACAGUAUCUGUUCUAUAACAGCCACUCGAUGUAUGUUUUCAGGAUCAGUGUAUGAAUGAAUACAUCUAUUAUAUUCUUUCCAAAAUUCAUUUCCAGGCUGAAUAACUUAGGGUUUUUGUUGUUAUGGUUAAAGAAUAAUGCUCAUUUCCAAAUACAUGAUUCUGAUUUUCUGCCAAAAUCCUACCCCUUUGGGAAAUUUACUUCAUCAUGUUCCUGGUGUCAGCCUUAUUUAAUCUUCUAAAAACUGAACUAAAAUCCUACUUGCUGCUUUUCUCCUCCCUACCUCAUCAUACAAUAGCUUAGCUUUUCUCCCUUUAUGUGAGAUUGAGUUUGUAAGUACAUUUGCAGGGGCAGAAGAAAAGAAACUGCUCUUUCAUUCCUUUUGCAAAGCUGCUCUGGAUUCUUACACGAGCUUCCUUACUCCUCCGUGAUACUUUUCCUCCUGUGUGUUUUCUUUGUUCUCUAAAUGCAUGGGAGCCUUUCUGAAAAUGCCUUUAUUCCCUUGAAGAAGCAGAGCAAGCAGACUGCAGAUCCUUUGGCUAACAAUUUUCAUUAUUAGAAUUGCACAAUUAGUGAUUUGCAUCACUAAUGCAGGAGAUGAGGCAUACAUGUGGAAGAGGAGCCUUCCUGACUCUGUGUGCCCAUAGACAUAUCAGCAGUGACUAGUAUAAUUGCAGAUGCUAAAAGUAACUUGUCCUCCAUUAUUGCCAUCAUUUUCAUCACCGCCAUCAUCCUCUUCAUCACUGAAAUCUACACCACAUUGUGUGUGGUCUGCACAAAACCAUAUAUACCAUAUCCUAACUCCUGACAUCACUUCUUUGUGUUUUUAUAGCAUUUUGAACCCUCAUGAUACCUCAUUUGCAUAAUAAUCUUAGACUAUGUUGUGGCCAUUUGAGGUUAUUAUCUUUCUUGACUCCUUUUCUCUACUGAUCUAAACCAGAAAUUAUGUAAAGGCUGAAAUUUAGGUUUUUAAUCUAUCAUUAUUGCCCAUAUCACUAUGCUGAGAACAUAACAGAAGUUCAGUAACUAUUUGUGGAAUUAAAUUGCCUACCUUACAUCUAAAACAGAAAAAAAAAAAAGAAACUGAAAAGAAGUCCCAAGAAGUUAAAUAAAUCAACAAUUGCCAAAUACAUAUUUAUCAAUAAUUACCUAAAUGUCAUUGGACGGAAUGCUCCAAUCAAAAGACACAGAGUGGCAGGUUGGCUAAAAAAGCAAAAGCCUACAAUAUUGUCUACAAGAGACUCACUUCAGGGCAAAGGACACAUAGAUUGAAAAUGAGGGGAUAGGAAAAAAUAUUUUAUGUCAAUGGACAAGGCAGGAAAGCAGGAGUUGUAAUAUUCAUAUCAGACAAAAUAGACUUUAAAAUGAAGGCCAUAAAAAAAGACAAGGAAGGACAAUAUUUAAUGAUAAAGGGAUCCAUUCAAGAAGAGGAUAUUACAAUCAUCAGUAUAUAUGCCCCUAAUAUAGGAGUACCCAGAUACAUACAAAAAUACUAACAGACAUAAAAGGAGAAAUCGAUGGAAACACAAUAACAGUAGGAGGUUUUAACACCCCACUCACAUCAAAGGACAGAUCCUCUAGACAGAAAAUCAAUAAGAGAACAGAGAUCCUAAAUGACGCAAUAGAAAAGUUAGACUUCAUUGGCAUUUUCAGAACAUUACAUCCAAAAAAAAUCAGAAUAUACAUUCUUCUCAAGUGCACAUGGAACAUUUUCAAGGAUCAAUCACAUACUGGGGCACAAAACUAAUCUCAAAAAAUUUAAGAGUAUAGAAAUUAUUUCAAGGAUCUUCUCUGACCACAAUGGCAUGAAACCAGAAAUCAACCACAGGAAAAGAAAUGAGAAAAAACUCACUACAUGUAGACUAAACAACAUGCUACUAAAAAACCAAUGGGUCAAUGAGAAAAUCAAAAUAGGAAAUUAAAAAACACCUCAAGACAAAUGAUAAUGAGGACACAAAAUUCAAAAUCUAUGGGAUGCUGCAAAAGCAGUGCUUAGUAGGAAAUUCACAGCAAUUCAGGUCUUCCUGAAAAAAGAAGAAAAAUCUCAAAUCAACGACUUAACCCACCACCUAAAGAAUUAGAAAACAAAGAACAAACAAAACCUAAAGUCAGCAGAAGGAAGGAAAUAAUAAAGAUCAGAGAGGAGAUCAAUAAAAUAGAAUUCAAAAAACAAUAGAAAAAAAUCAAUAAAACCAAGAUCUGGUUCUUUGAAAAGGUAAACAAAAUGGAAAAAAUCUCUGGCCAGACUCACCAAGAAGAGGAGAAAAAGAACUCAAAGAAACGAAAUAAGAAAUGAAAAAGGAGAAAUCACAGUGGAAACUGCAGAAAUACAAAUAAUCAUAAGAGAAUACAAUGUGCAAUUAUAUGCCAACAAAUUUCACAACCUAGAAGAAAUGGACAACUUUCUAGAGACAGCCUGACAAAACUGAAUCAAGAAGAAACAGGAGUUCCCUUUGUGGCGCAGUGGUUAACGAAUCCGACUAGGAACCAUGAAGUUUUGGGUUCGAUCCCUGGCCUUGCUCAGUG
rnacentral:lncRNA from 1 species